rnacentral:rRNA from 1 species
UACGGGGGGGGGCUAGCGUUGUUCGGAAUUACUGGGCGUAAAGGCGCGUAGGCGGCCAACUAAGUCGGAUGUGAAAUCCCCAGGCUUAACCUGGGAACUGCAUCCGAUACUGGUGGCUCGAUCGGAGAGGGAUGUGGAAUUCCAGGUGUAGCGGUGAAAUGCGUAGAUAUCUGGAGGAACACCGGUGGCGAAGGCGACAUCCUGGACCGGCAU